GCUACACUCAAACCACCUAGGCUAAAACGGAGAAAUGCUGUAAAGACUGAAAACAGAUGAAAAGUCUUUAAUUUGAAUAUCUUGUGUGCAUAUUGUUAAUUAUAACAAAACACCCUCAAAAACACUAGUCAUGUCAUUUCAGAUUAUUGAAUGUGAGCCUGUGUAGCCUAGACUACAGUAUAUGAAAAAUAUACUUAAAGUAAAAUGCAAUUUUAUUCCUCAUCCACACUUUAAUAUUAACAGUUAUGGCAAAUAGACUCUGGGUUGCUUUAAGUGCAUUCUGAAUGUGUACAUUUCAGUAGAUCAUAAACAUUUCUGAUGGUGUAAAGUAAGCCAUCAAAUUGAUAAAAACAGGACAAUUAGUGAAAUAAUGUAAUACUGCUACUAAAUCAGACCCCAAAACGAUUCAAAACCAUCUGUCAUUUCUGAAAUAAUGAUGAAUGCCUAAAAUUUUGCAGAAUUUAAUUUGUAGUAAAUACAAUGCACACAAAACCGUAAAAUUACAUAAGAAGAACAAUUUUACUAAUCACAACUGUUUUUUUUUUUUUUUUUUUUAUAUCCAGUAAAUCUCCUGUUAUGCCUUAAAAUGAUAAGAAACUAUCUUCGGUACAUGUUCUCUACACUAGCUAAAACAUUUUCUUAAGGAACACAAAGGAUAAGUUCCAUGUAUCAGUGUCAACGAAUGAGAUAAAGCUGUCUGCAAAGAGCACGGCGAAGCUAGAGUAGCCUGAGGUUUUAGAUUAUGUGUGUGUUGGAAGAAACAGGGUGCCGUAUGCAGUAACCUGAGCGGAGAUGUGUAUUGUGCACGUGUGUGUGUGUACGCUUGGGGGAAGGAGCACAUCUGAGAGCAAUCCCCUCAUGUGACAAAAUGCAGACAUAACAGUCUGCAUCGACACUUGUUACCAGCACAUAAACACUUGCCUUAGAGAGACUGGGUCGAGAGAGGGCCUGCAGCAGCUGAAUGGGGCUAGAGCAGAUCUGCUAUUUAUCAAACCCUAAUUAACUGUUAAUUUGCCAACCUUUAGGUUCAAGCAUGUGACCAAUUUAUCACACCCAACAAACAGACUCUCCAGCUCUCCCAAGGGGUGGUCAACAAGGCAGUCUAUUUUAACACCAUCUAGAUCCAAGCCUAUUAGGUCUUCCUAUAUAAACUGAAAAAUGAAAGAUUAAAAAAAAAAAAAAACGCUGAAAUGAGAGUUGCUGUAAUAGUGAUAGCCACCACCACAAAUAAAUGAAUAAAUAAAUAACCUAAGUUAAAAAGAAAAUGAAAGUAGUUGGAUUCUUAUAUUUGACACAAAUUAAAGCACAAAACAUAGUGUAUAUAAAAUAUAAAACGAUCAGCCUUGAUCUGAUCAAGUAAAAAAACUUCUUUGUAUAUCAAUGAAUAUUCUCCCACAAUCUCUCCAAAUUUGUGUAUCAUUUUAUUCUGUAAAACACAAAAAGUAGAAUUUUGAAGAAU
rnacentral:lncRNA from 1 species